GAUGAACGCUGGCGGCAUGCCUAACACAUGCGAGUCGAUCGGUAAGGCUCUUCGGAGUACACGAGAGGCGGACGGCUGAGUAACUCGUAGGCACACACCCUGCAGUGAGGGAUAAGACACCGAAAGGUGUUCUAAUACCGCAUACGGUCUUCGGAUUAAAGCAUUUAUGCGCUGAAGGAGUGGCCUGCGUCAUAUUAGAUAGUUGGUGAGGUAAUGGCUCACCAAGUCGAUGAUGUGUAGCUGGUCUGAGAGGAUGAUCAGCCAGACUGGAACUGAGACACGGUCCAGACUCCUACGGGAGGCAGCAGUGAGGAAUAUUUCACAAUGAGCGAAAGCGUGAUGGAGCAAUGCCGCGUGCAGGAUGAAGGCCCUCGGGUUGUAAACUGCUUUUAUAAGAGAAGAUUAUGACGGUAACUUAUGAAUAAGGGACGGCUAACUACGUG
rnacentral:rRNA from 1 species